rnacentral:lncRNA from 1 species
CUGCCACGUCCAGUGGGCAGCUGUGGUCGCUCCCCUCCUGUAUUCAAUCCCCGACUGAUGGCCUGGGGUCUGCGGGGCCCCGCCAAGCCCAGGACUCUCCUCAUCCACCUCGGCUCGGCCCGCGCCCGGGAGAAGCUACAUGCAGAAUUUGGAGCCCAGGGCCAGGCCAGAUUCGCUCACAGAGGGCAGCAUCUGUCCAGCCCUGGUCUCUGUGCGGGGUCCCCUCUGUGGGACCCACCCUUCCACCCUCGAGCCCCGGCUGUGGAGAGACCUGCACAGCCCGACCACAUGCCCUUCCCGCCCUUGGAUGCACCUUUGUGAUCUAAAGCAGCAUUCUCAAUAAGGCCACACUGUUUCUUGGACAUUGCAAUGGCUUGGGACCGUCCCAAGGCCACAGCAUAUAAAGGGGACCUCGGUGGCACUGAAUUCAGGGGGACAAUAAACACCCUCCUCAGUGAGAGAAGCCAGAUCCAAAAGACUUUGUCCACAGUGUAGGAUCUGUUCAUAGGACCCGUCCAACAGGCCAGUCCACAGGCACUGGGACGGAUGCGCACAUGCUGGGGUUCUGGGGCUGGGGAGGGGACCAGGAGUGACUGCUGAUGGGGAGGGGCUGCUUUUUGGGGUGAUGGAAUGUUCUGGAAUUAGAGGUGGAGACCGUACAACUUUGGAUGUACUAAAACCCACUCGUACGCUCUAAAAUGGUGAACUUUAUGUUCUAUCAUUAUCUCAAAAAAUAAAUUUGCCUGGGCUCGGUGGCUCACGCCUGUAAUCCCAGCACUUUGGGAGGCCAAGAUGGGCAGAUUACAAGGUCUGGAGUUCAAGACCAUCCUGGCCAACAUGGUGAAACCCUAUCUCUACUAAAAAUACAAAAAAUGAGCCAGGUGUGGUGGCACGCGCCUGUAGUCCCAGCUACUCCGGAGGUUGAGGCAGGAAAAUCGCUUGAACCCGGGAGGCGAAGGUUGCAGUGAGCCCAGAUCUCGCCACUACACUCCAGCCUGGUGACAGAGCGAGACUCCGUCUCAAAAAAAAAAAAAAAAAUACAUAAAUAAAAUAAAUUUAAAACAAAAAAAGCUUCAUAGGGGACAAUGAGGACAGAGAAAGGCAGUGGGCGCGGUGGCUCAUGCCUGUAAUCCCAGCAGGUUAGGAGGCCGAGGCGGGUGGAUUGCCUGAGGUCAGGAGUUCAAGAGGCAUUGCUCUGAGCAGCUUGAGUUUGUGUGGGCCCAGCGGGACCAGGCAUUCUCAAGGCUGGGGGCCUGGCCCUCCAAGGGGUCGGGCACUCAGCCAGGCAGCAGAUCUGCCCAGACCCUCCGCACUCUGCCUGGUUCAGCUGAUUUGUGUUCAAAGGAGGCAGGACUGGGUGCGGUGGCUCAGGCCUGUAAUCCGAGCACUUUGGGAGGCUGAGGAGGGCAAAUCAUGAGGUCAGGAGAUCGAGACCAUCCUGGCUAACGUGGUGAAACCCCGUCUCUACUAAAAAUAAAAAAAAUUAGCCAGGUGUGGUGGCGGGUGCCUGUGGUCCCAGCUACUCGGGAGACUGAGGCAGGAGAAUCGCUUAAACCCAGGAGGCAGAGGUUGCAGUGAGCCGAGAUUGUGCCACUGCACUCCAGCCUGGGGGACAGAGCAAGACUGUCUCAAUUAAA